rnacentral:sRNA from 1 species
GCUCGUGGUAAGUAGCAGCGACUGUGUGACAGGGGAAGUAGGUAUGGCAACUGGUAUCGUUAAGUGGUUCAACGACGCGAAGGGCUUCGGUUUCAUCACUCCCGAUGAGGGCGGUGAGGAUCUGUUUGCGCACUUCUCGGCUAUCACCAUGAAUGGCUUCAAGACGUUGAAGGAAGGCCAGAAGGUGAGCUUUGACGUCGUUCAAGGACCGAAGGGCAAGCAAGCGUCGAACAUCCAGGCCGCAUAAAGGCAUCGGAUAUCGGACGAAGAAACCCGGCGCAAUGCGCCGGGUUUCUUUU